rnacentral:lncRNA from 1 species
GGCAGAAAACGUGAGGUGGGAAUCAAAUCAUGCUGGGCUUUUUGGCCAGCAAACUUGGAAAUCAUGUCUUAGAGAUCAAGGAGCCAAGAGAUGAGACAAGCCUGGGUUCCUAGGUGAUAGGGUGUGGCUGUGUCCCCACCCAAAUCUCGUCUUGAAUUGUAGCUCCCAUAAUCCCCACAUGUUGUGGAGGGACCCUGUGGAAGGUAAUUGAAUUAUGGAGAUUGUGCCUGCAGCCUGGCCUGUUGCCCACAGCGGUCUACCUGCCACACUGGGAAAGAUCGAGCAGAGACAGAGAAGAAAAGGAGGCUCCAUUUUUCAGGCUGCUCUCCCGCAGGCUCAUGUUUUGUGUUCAUGCCAGGCAGAGAACACAAAAUGUUCCAAUAAAUAAGUAUCAAAGCAUCUACUUGUUUCCAAAGUUAUUUGGGUCAGCAUUUUCCUCCACCCACCACUUAAAACUGAUUUGUUUCAUACAUUUGAAAUGUAUGAAAAGCCAGAAAUCCAGGACCCACCCUGGCCUGCUCCCUUUUUCUCACCUACUGUGUUAAGGAUAAGUCAAUUGAGCUUCACUUCUCUAAUUGAAAUCACCGUGCUGAUGGAGUCUGUCUGUGGAAAUGAAAGGUGGCUACCAUAAUCUGUUGGGAGUUGAAUUAAUCCUCUGGGAGUGAGGCUGACCUAAUUACUCAGAAAUACUGGGCUUGCUUUCAUUCUGUGGAAUACAGCCAUGAGAAAGAGGCCAGCAUGCCAUUUCCUAAUCUUUUCUUGAAUUGCCUGAAACUCACCUAACAUGAAACUGAGAAGCCUUUUCAUUUGAAAGUGGUAUUUCUUAUGUUUUUUAUCUUUUUGCUUGAAAGUAUUCUUAAACUAAAGAAAGGAGAAACAGAAAAGGUGAAGAAGCCAAGAGGCUGGAGUUUCCUUUUGAAUGGAUAUUCAUCCAUGAAGCUGUUGAUUCUGUUUUUCUGUUCCUCCAGAUGUCUACACUUUUACCUCUGCUUGCCUGAUACAACCACCACCAGUCACCUCACAGAAUAACUCACUCCUUAAGAAUCUGAUCAGGAAUCAGCCUUCCCUGAUCACAAACACUGAGUUUAGAAGUCCCUCCACAGUGUCCCCCGUAACCCUGUGCUACCUCACUGCCUCAUAGUUUAGUGCCGUUUGUGUACAUGCCUAUCUUCGUCCAUGGAUCCAGAACAACUUGUAAAAAUGACUGUACUUAUCACCUUCAGUAUUCAAUGACUAAACUAUAAUUUUAACAUAUCUGGCAGAAUGAAUCACUUGGGGAUUUCUGCCAACACUACCAAUAUAUUACUCCUAAUUUGUAAUUAUUACUUAGCAUGGAUUAUAGUACCGGCUGUUGGAGAGCCAAUGUGGCAGACCCUAAGUGGAAUAAAAUGUCAGUAGCAGUCUAGGAGCAUAUAUUUAUUGGAAUAGAUCAUUCAUUCAUUUGUUCAUUAACUAAUUUGUUCAUUAAAUAAACAUUUAUUAAGC